UACGAAGGGGGCUAGCGUUGUUCGGAAUUACUGGGCGUAAAGCGCACGUAGGCGGAUAUUUAAGUCAGGGGUGAAAUCCCGCAGCUCAACUGCGGAACUGCCUUUGAUACUGGGUAUCUUGAGUAUGGAAGAGGUUAGUGGAAUUGCGUGUGUAGAGGUGAAAUUCGUAGAUAUUCGCAGGAACACCAGUGGCGAAGGCGGCUAACUGGUCCAUAACUGACGCUGAGGUGCGAAAGCGUGGGGAGCAAACAGG
rnacentral:rRNA from 1 species